UUUAAAGUUCGCCGCGAUCUCGGUUGCAACAAAAGACGGCUUUCCUGUUUACACUACAAAGAAGGUUAUGUCUCGCUAAAUUAACUCAUAAUUAAAAAUAAAAAACCUUAGGCCACAAGCUACGAAGCACCAAACCAAAAAUAAAAUACAAAUAAUCAAUAUGAAUAUAUGACAAUUAGCUCUUUUGUUUAUUGAAGGCAAGAGGCCCUUUUCCUUAAUUGAAGCAUCAUUUAAUUUGUAGUUGAUUUCUUGUGCUUUUGUCAGUUGUGAGUUCCGGUCGCCAUUAGACUCUAAGCUCUAAAGCAAAAUUACUGCGACCCCUUCUGGAUGGCAUCGGUUGAUUUAUGGCCCAACUGCAGUGGAACAAAAGCAAUGUGUUAAUUAAUAUAUUGGGAGAGGAGGGAUAGGCUGAGUAGCCGAGAGAGACAUUAACACACACGUACAGCAGCAAGUACACUUCGCCGACAACAAUCCUUCACAUGCUUAUGGCAGGAACGACAUUUCAACUCAUGAUCACCUGUAAUUGCAGUCGAUGAGUUAGUACGAGUUCAUAUUUACACUACACAUUUGCACUUCUUUUGUGAGAUACCAAGGAAGAAUACAUAUUCCCUUUCUGCUUAUAAUUAAAUAUUCAAAGAAGAGGUUGGAGAA